rnacentral:rRNA from 1 species
CAAGAGGAUGAAAACGUAAACUGGAGAUCAUUCAACAUUGAUGGUCUAAACAAGUUCACAGAGGCUGAGAUUAAAAGGAUCACUGACAACUAUAGCACUCUCAUUGGCAAAGGUAGCUUUGGAGAAGUUUACCUUGGCGUUCUUGACGAUUGUACUCAGGUUGCAGUCAAGAUUCCACUCACAGAUAUGAAGGAACAUUUUGCCAAGGAAAUAAUCAUACAUUGCCAAAUCAACCACAAGAACGUUGUUAGGCUCUUGGGCUACUGUUCAGAGGAAAAUGCUUUAAUGAUGAUCACCGAGUACAUCUCCGGAGGAAGCCUCAGAGAAGUUCUCGGUUGCAAAGACUAUCCCAUUUCUUUAGAUCAAAGGUUGGGUAUUGCUCUAGACUGUGCAAAGGCAUUAAGCUACAUGCAUUCUUCCAUGUGUCCACCAACCAUUCAUGGUGAUUUCAAGCCUGGUAACAUCCUUUUAGAUGAUAACUUUGGUGCGAAAUUAUACGACUUCGGGAUAUCCAGAAUGUUUUCCAAGGACAGCACUCAAUACACAGUGAAUGUAAUAGGCAGCAUAGGUUACCUUGAUCCGUUGUUUGCUAAGACUGGGUGCAUCGAUCCGAAGAGUGAUGUUUACAGUUUUGGGGUCGUUUUAGUAGAACUAGUCACGAGAAAAAAGGCAUAUGAAAACGGGAGCAUGGGCCUCAUAGAAACUUUCGUCCAAGCUGUUCGAAAAGGAACGAAGGCAAGAGAGAUG